rnacentral:piRNA from 1 species
UAGAACAUAGUGCUCCCCCUGAUA